rnacentral:rRNA from 1 species
AGUUUGAUCCUGGCUCAGAUUGAACGCUGGCGGCAGGCCUAACACAUGCAAGUCGAGCGGUAGAGAGAAGCUUGCUUCUCUUGAGAGCGGCGGACGGGUGAGUAAAGCCUAGGAAUCUGCCUGGUAGUGGGGGAUAACGUUCGGAAACGGACGCUAAUACCGCAUACGUCCUACGGGAGAAAGCAGGGGACCUUCGGGCCUUGCGCUAUCAGAUGAGCCUAGGUCGGAUUAGCUAGUUGGUGAGGUAAUGGCUCACCAAGGCGACGAUCCGUAACUGGUCUGAGAGGAUGAUCAGUCACACUGGAACUGAGACACGGUCCAGACUCCUACGGGAGGCAGCAGUGGGGAAUAUUGGACAAUGGGCGAAAGCCUGAUCCAGCCAUGCCGCGUGUGUGAAGAAGGUCUUCGGAUUGUAAAGCACUUUAAGUUGGGAGGAAGGGCAUUAACCUAAUACGUURGUGUUUUGACGUUACCGACAGAAUAAGCACCGGCUAACUCUGUGCCAGCAGCCGCGGUAAUACAGAGGGUGCAAGCGUUAAUCGGAAUUACUGGGCGUAAAGCGCGCGUAGGUGGUUUGUUAAGUUGGAUGUGAAAUCCCCGGGCUCAACCUGGGAACUGCAUUCAAAACUGACUGACUAGAGUAUGGUAGAGGGUGGUGGAAUUUCCUGUGUAGCGGUGAAAUGCGUAGAUAUAGGAAGGAACACCAGUGGCGAAGGCGACCACCUGGACUAAUACUGACACUGAGGUGCGAAAGCGUGGGGAGCAAACAGGAUUAGAUACCCUGGUAGUCC